rnacentral:pre_miRNA from 1 species
AAAAAGGCAAAUCCUAGGUUUUCGUGUCCAACUUUGACUGUCCGUCUUAUAUGAAAUUUUUUUAUAAUUCAUAUUUUUAUUGUAGUUAGAUGAUAAAACAUGAUUAAUACUUUGUGCGUGACUUGUCUUUUAAUUUUUUUCAUAAUUUUUCAAAUAAGACGGACGGUCAAACGUUGGGCACGGAAAUCAGGGUU